rnacentral:rRNA from 1 species
CACGAACGCUGGCGGCAGGCUUAACACAUGCAAGUCGAGCGCCCCGCAAGGGGAGCGGCAGACGGGGGAGUAACGCGUGGGAAUCUACCCAUCUCUACGGAAUAACGCAUGGAAACGUGUGCUAAUAACGUAUACGUCCUUCGGGAGAAAGAUUUAUCGGAGAUGGAUGAGCCCGCGUUGGAUUAGCUAGUUGGUGGGGUAAAGGCCUACCAAGGCGACGAUCCAUAGCUGGUCUGAGAGGACGAUCAGCCACACUGGGACUGAGACACGGCCCAGACUCCUACGGGAGGCAGCAGUGGGGAAUAUUGGACAAUGGGCGCAAGCCUGAUCCAGCCAUGCCGCGUGAGUGAUGAAGGCCCUAGGGUUGUAAAGCUCUUUCACCGGUGAAGAUAAUGACGGUAACCGGAGAAGAAGCCCCGGCUAACUUCGUGCCAGCCGCCGCCGUAACAC